CUGAGUACUACACUCUCUACCCUUUGUGAACUAUUAUACCUGUUGCUUCGGCGGCGCCCGCAAGGGUGCCCGCCGGUCUCAUCAGAAUCUCUGUUUUCGAACCCGACGAUACUUCUGAGUGUUCUCAGCGAACUGUCA
rnacentral:misc_RNA from 1 species